GUUUCCACUCACCAACUCAAGUUACACGAUAGCAUAAAGCCGAUGGUUUGUUCUUUUAAAUGAAAAUAACACAUAUCUAUAAGAUUCUCUUGGUGAACUACUCUGUCACUAACACUUGAUUAGGUUUUCAAAAGUUCUCUUCAUCUUCUUGGUUGUCAUCUGAGGUUAGAAGAUGAUUUAAAGCGACUUUCGCCUUCUUUGUUUCUUUUGACUUAUCCUUGGUUUCAUCUUCGUCACCCUUUCUCUUGAGCGAUUCAUCUUUCCCAGCCACAAUUUCCCCUUCCUCACUUGUAGCAGCUUUCUCUAACUUCUCCUCCUGCGAAGAGGACUUUGGUUCUGAUUCAACCUUGUUCUCUUCAUCAUUUAGAGCUUCUUUGGAGGAUGCAGUUUCAGGUUGACGUAAAAUGGAGCUGACUUCUUCAUUGCUUGCGAGAUCAAGGGAUGUUUUCCCUGCCUUGUUUUUAGUGUUAACAUUUGAACCUUUCUUCAGCAAAUAUUUGACGAGUUCUAGGUGAGACCCUUGGGCAGCAUAAUGAAGGGCAGUCAUACCCUUGCGGUUGCAUGAUUUGACAGACACUCCAGAACUAACAAGAAGCCUAACAACUUCUAAAUGACCUUUUUGAGCAGCAAAGUGAAUUGCACCCAUG
rnacentral:misc_RNA from 1 species